AUUGAACGCUGGCGGCAUGCCUUACACAUGCAAGUCGGACGAGUGGCGAACGGGUGAGUCAUGUAUUGGAACGUACCCAGUGAUGGGGGAUACCCACUGGAAAGAUUGGCUAAUACCGCAUACCAUCAGAGAGGCCCAUAUCUGAGUAGCUUGUUGGUGGGGUAAAGGCCAACCAAGGCGACGAUCACGAGAGGGUCUGAGCGGAUGACCAGCCAACCUGGAACUGAGAAACGGUCCAGACUCCUACGGGAGGCAGCAGUGGGGAAUUUUGGACAAGGGGCGCAAGCCUGAUGCAGCCAGGCCGGGUGUCUGAAGAAGGCCUUCGGGUUGUAAAGGACGUUUUUAGGGGAGGCGGUACCUAAAGAAGAAGCACCGGCUAACUACGUGCCAGCAGCCGCGGUAAUAC
rnacentral:rRNA from 1 species